rnacentral:rRNA from 1 species
UACGUAGGCAGCGAGCGUUGUUCGGAGUUACUGGGCGUAAAGGGUGUGUAGGCGGUUUUCUAAGUUUGGUGUGAAAUCUCCCGGCUUAACCGGGAGGGUGCGCCGAAAACUGGGAGACUAGAGUGCGGGAUGGGAGAGUAGAAUUCCUGGUGUAGCGGUGAAAUGCGCAGAUAUCAGGAAGAACACCCGUGGCUAAGGCGGUUCUCUAGUACGGUACUGACGCUGAGACGCGAAAGCGUGGGGAGCGAACAGG